rnacentral:rRNA from 1 species
ACCCAGUGACCGAUAGCGUAUAGUACUGUGAAGGAAAGGUGAAAAGGACCCCGGGAGGGGAGUGAAAUAGAACCUGAAACCUUGUGCCUACAAGCACAUAGAGCACAUCAACGUGUGAUAUGGUACUUUUUGUAGAACGGUCCGGCGAGCGAUUGUAUGUUGCGAGCUUAAGGUCUUAAGGACUGGAGGCGUAGCGAGAGCGAGUCUGAACAGGGCGUUCAGUAACAUGCAAUGGGCCCGAAACCGGGUGACCUACCCAUGAUCAGGCUGAAGUGAAAGUAAAAUUUCAUGGAGGGCCGAACCGACCUCCGUUGAAAAGGCGGCGGAUGAAUUGUGGGUAGCGGAGAAAUUCCAAUCGAACUCGGAGAUAGCUGGUUCUCCCCGAAAUAGCUUUAGGGCUAGCCUCAUAUUAGAUACCCGGAGGUAAAGCACUGAAUGGCCUAGCGCCCGAGAGGGUAGCGAAGCCUAUCAAACUAAGAAUGCCGGAGUAUUGAUGUAUGGGAGUCAGACAGUGUGAGAUAAAUCUCAUUGUCAAAAGGGAAACAGCCCAGAUCUACAGCUAAGGUCCCAAAUUGUAUCUAAGUGGAAAACGAUGUGGAAAUACGCAGACAACCAGGAUGUUGGCUCAGAAGCAGCCACUCAUUUAAAGAGUGCGUAAUAGCUCACUGGUCGAGCGUCUCUGCGCGGAAAAUUUAACGGGGCUAAGAUACAAACCGAAGCUUAGGCUGCAUCGUAAGAUGCGGGGUAGGGGAGCGUUGUGUAAGCGGAGAAACAGUAGCGAAAGCGGCUGUGGAGUUUACAGAAGUGAGAAUGCCGGAAUGAGUAGCGCGAAUGUGGUGAGAAUCCACAUGGCCGGAAACCUCAGGUUUUUGGAGGAAGGUUCGUCCGCUCCAAGUUAGGCGGGAGCUAAGGUCAGGCCGAAAGGCGUAGCCGAUGCACAGACGGUAGAGAUUCCGUCCCCACCGAAAGAUUUAAGCACAGGGACACUUUUUGAAGGUCGGAGCCAGGUGUUGGUUCUGGUAGUGAUCGAGGGAAAUAUAGUACCGAAGUCCGGCUGGAAGAGAGGCGAGAAAAGCUGUGUGUAUAUCUAAGGUGCCCGUACCGCAAACCGACACAGGUAGGUAGGAAGAAGAUUCUAAGGCCAACGGGAGAAGGGUUGUUAAGGAACUCGGCAAGUUGACCCCGUAACUUCGGAAUAAGGGGUGCUCACGAGAGUGAGCCGCAGAGAAUAGGCCCAGGCAACUGUUUACCAAAAACACAGGUUUGUGCUAAAUCGAAAGAUGACGUAUACGAGCUGACGCCUGCCCGGUGCUGGAAGGUUAAAAGGAGAUGUGCAAGCAUUGAAUUGAAGCCCCAGUGAACGGCGGCCGUAACUAUAACGGUCCUAAGGUAGCGAAAUUCCUUGUCAGGUAAGUUCUGACCCGCAUGAAAGGCGUAAUGAUCUGGGCACUGUCUCAACAGCCCGCCCGGCGAAAUUGUAGUACCGGUGAAGAUGCCGGUUACCCGCGACAAGACGGAAAGACCCCAUGGAGCUUUACUGUAGCCU